rnacentral:rRNA from 1 species
GAUGAACGCUAGCGGCAGGCUUAACACAUGCAAGUCGAGGGGCAGCAUGACGGAACCUUCGGGUUUCGUUGAUGGCGACCGGCGCAAGGGUGCGUAACGCGUGAGCAACUUGCCCGUUUCUGGGGAAUAACCCGGUGGAAACGCCGACUAAUACCCCCAUAGUAUCAUUAUUAGGCAUCUUUUAAUGAUUAAAGAAUUUCGGAAACGGAUAGGCUCGCGUGACAUUAGCUAGAUGGCGGGGUAACGGCCCACCAUGGCUACGAUGUCUAGGGGUUCUGAGAGGAAGGUCCCCCACACUGGGAACCUGAGACACGGUCCAGACUCCUACGGGAGCAGCAGUGAGGAAUAUUGGGUCCAAAUGGGUCUGACGACUGAACCAGCCAUGCCGCGUGAAGGUCAGG